rnacentral:rRNA from 1 species
AGAACGAACGCUGGCGGCAUGCCUAAUACAUGCAAGUCGAACGAACACUUCGGUGUUAGUGGCGCACGGGUGCGUAACGCGUGGGAAUCUGCCCUUGGGUUCGGAAUAACAGUUGGAAACGACUGCUAAUACCGGAUGAUAUCGAAAGAUCAAAGAUUUAUCGCCCAGGGAUGAGCCCGCGUAGGAUUAGCUAGUUGGUGAGGUAAAGGCUCACCAAGGCGACGAUCCUUAGCUGGUCUGAGAGGAUGAUCAGCCACACUGGGACUGAGACACGGCCCAGACUCCUACGGGAGCGGCAGUAGGGAAUAUUGGACAAUGGGCGCAAGCCUGAUCCAGCAAUGCCGCGUGAGUGAUGAAGGCCUUAGGGUUGUAAAGCUCUUUUACCCGAGAUGAUAAUGACAGUAUCGGAGAAUAAGCCCCGGCUAACUCCGUGCUAGCAGCCGC